GGCCAGUUCAAUGGAUUUUAAAAAUUAUUAUUCUCUAGAAAAAAGACCACGAACUUUGGAGUGGACAUCCUGAGACCUGCCUACGAAGACCAUUAGGUGGCCUCCAGAAGACACUCCCCUGAUUCCUACACCGAGGGAACACACAGCAGCAAGCUAGGAAAGAAGGGGUGACCCAGCCCAACGCUGUAAACCAGGGCGCGAACCGGCGUUGAGCUGUGCAGCUGCGCCCUGGGCUCCAGUCCUGCUCUGCCGCAGACCCCACCGGAGCCAGCACCUGCCUCCCCGACCCUCGCUGGGGCGGCUGUGAGAUGAGCCCAGAGCCUUCCUGAGCCAACCCUCGCAAGGAAAGUCUGUCUGUUCACCCCACUAUCCUUGUCUUGAAGGAUGAAGAAAAGAGGGCCCCCCGGGAGGUCCCAAAAGGUGGAAUGGACAUCUGGGAUCCAAGCACAGCAAUUUCUUUAUUUUUCUUAAGGUAUCCAGCUUGUUGGAAUCUAAGAUCUGCGAAGCCUCUCACUAGAGGAUGAAAAUCGUUCUGCAUAAAGGCCUGGGCUUUAUGAAAAAUAUAUUCACACCUCCCGUGUCCGAGCUGGGAUACCAAAGAAGUUCCUGGUUGAGUACUACUUAUGAAUGAAGGAUUCAGGGGAUGCACAGGACACAGAGGAAUCUGGGGGAUAUUAUGGUUCUGGGAAUGUGGAAUGUAACGUCUCAUCUUCAGCCCAUCUGUGCUACUGAUCAUCUCAUUCCAGAAGCCAUGCCUUCUCUCAGGAGCAGACAGCACAAGACUUUCCUGCCAGAGGCACAGUCCCCAGUGGGAGUAGCAUCCACAUAAGACAGGAUGCAGAGAUGUCUUCAAGCAGCUUCAAACAAAACUUCAAGAAAGAAAGUGCAAGUGAAAAAGGAAAUUCAUCCUUCCAGUCACUUAACACAGCACUGUCACGGACACCUUGUGCCUCCUUAAAAUUCGUAUACUGAAGUUCUAAGCCCCAGUACCCCAGAAUGUGACCUUCUUUGGAAAUAGGGUCAUUGCAGAUAUGAUUAGUUAAGAGGAGAUCAUACUGGAGUGGGCUUUAAUCCAAUAUGACUGGUGUCCUUAUGUAAAGGGGAAAUUUGGACACAGACACACACAAGGAGAACACCAUGUGAACUGAAGUCAAAGAUUUGGGUGAUGCUUCUACAAGCCAAGAAAUGCCAAAGAUGACCAGCAAAGCACCGGCAGCUGGUGGAGGAGCCUGGACCAGAUUCUUCCUCACAGCCCUCAAAAGGAACCAAUCUUGCCAAAGCUUUGACUUAGACUUCUAGCCCCCUGUGAUGGUUAAUGUUAAGUGGCAGCUUGACUGGGUUAAGGGAUGCCCAGAUAGCUGGUAAGACAGUAUGUCUGUGUGCAUCUCUCAGAGUGUUUCUGGACAAGAUCAGCAUUUGAAUCCUUAGAGUAAAGAAGAUCUGCCCUCACCCACGUGCAUCACCCUAUCUCUGGAGAGCGCGAACAAACAGGAGGAAGGGCACAUAUGCUCCUUCUGUUCCAGCUGGCACAUCCAUCUUCUCCUGCCCCCUGACUUCAGAGCUCCUGGUUCUCGGGCCUCAGGAUUCCAGCACUUACAUGAGAGCGUGCUUCCCCCUCCCUACUCCACCCCUAGGUUCUCCGCCCUUUGGCCUCUGACUGAAUUCCACCACCAGCUUUUCAGGGUCUCCAGCUUGCAGACGGCAGAUCGUGGGACUUCUUGGCCUCCAUAAUUAUGUAAGCCAAUUCCCAUAAUAAAUCUCCUAUCUAUCUAUCUAUCUAUCCAUCUAUCAAUCAUCUAUCUAGUCUAUCUAUCUAUCUAUCUCUAUCCUAUUGAUUCUGUGUCUCUGAGGAACCCUAAUACACCUCCAGAACUGUGAGAUGAUACAUUUCUGUGGUUUAAGCCACUCAGAAGGUGGUACUUUGUUUCACCAGGCCUAGCAAACUAAUACAAGUGCAUGGAAGGUGACUACUCAUGACUGCAACUUAGAGAACAAGGGUUAUAAUAAAAAUAAAAGUGUUAUACAAAGGUGGCAAGAUAAAUGACAAUAAAUGAAAAUAUUAACAUGUGAAUUAAAAAGUAAAGAUAUUUUUCCUAGCAUUCUCCCAGAAAGUAGAGACGCGUCUCUCUUGUUUGCCAUCAUAUCCAGCAAUGGCAAGAUAAGUUCUAGGCACUUCAUAAAAAUUUG
rnacentral:lncRNA from 1 species